rnacentral:rRNA from 1 species
ACUCCUACGGGAGGCAGCAGUGGGGAAUAUUGGACAAUGGGGGCAACCCUGAUCCAGCCAUGCCGCGUGUGUGAAGAAGGCCUUUUGGUUGUAAAGCACUUUAAGCAGGGAGGAGAGGCUAAUGGUUAAUACCCAUUAGAUUAGACGUUACCUGCAGAAUAAGCACCGGCUAACUCUGUGCCAGCAGCCGCGGUAAUACAGAGGGUGCGAGCGUUAAUCGGAAUUACUGGGCGUAAAGCGAGUGUAGGUGGCUCAUUAAGUCACAUGUGAAAUCCCCGGGCUUAACCUGGGAACUGCAUGUGAUACUGGCAGACUAGAGUACUGUAGAGGGGGGUAGAAUUUCAGGUGUAGCGGUGAAAUGCGUAGAGAUCUGAAGGAAUACCGGUGGCGAAGGCGGCCCCCUGGACAGAUACUGACACUCAGAUGCGAAAGCGUGGGGAGCAAACAGGAUUAGAUACCCUGGUAGCGUCGUC